GACGAACGCUGGCGGCGUGCUUAACACAUGCAAGUCGAACGGAAAGGCCCUGCUUUUGUGGGGUGCUCAAGUGGCGAACGGGUGAGUAACACGUGAGUAACCUGCCCUUGACUUUGGGAUAACUUCAGGAAACUGGGGCUAAUACCGGAUAGGAGCUCCUGCUGCAUGGCGGGGGUUGGAAAGUUUCGGCGGUUGGGGAUGGACUCGCGGCUUAUCAGCUUGUUGGUGGGGUAGUGGCUUACCAAGGCUUUGACGGGUAGCCGGCCUGAGAGGGUGACCGGCCACAUUGGGACUGAGAUACGGCCCAGACUCCUACGGGAGGCAGCAGUGGGGAAUAUUGCACAAUGGGCGGAAGCCUGAUGCAGCAACGCCGCGUGCGGGAUGACGGCCUUCGGGUUGUAAACCGCUUUCGCCUGUGACGAAGCGUGAGUGACGGUAAUGGGUAAAGAAGCACCGGCUAACUACGUGCCAGCAGCCGCGGUGAUACGUAGGGUGCGAGCGUUGUCCGGAUUUAUUGGGCGUAAAGGGCUCGUAGGUGGUUGAUCGCGUCGGAAGUGUAAUCUUGGGGCUUAACCCUGAGCGUGCUUUCGAUACGGGUUGACUUGAGGAAGGUAGGGGAGAAUGGAAUUCCUGGUGGAGCGGUGGAAUGCGCAGAUAUCAGGAGGAACACCAGUGGCGAAGGCGGUUCUCUGGGCCUUUCCUGACGCUGAGGAGCGAAAGCGUGGGGAGCGAACAGGCUUAGAUACCCUGGUAGUCCACGCUGUAAACGGUGGGUACUAGGUGUGGGGUCCAUUCCACGGGUUCCGUGCCGUAGCUAACGCUUUAAGUACCCCGCCUGGGGAGUACGGCCGCAAGGCUAAAACUCAAAGGAAUUGACGGGGCCCCGCACAAGCAGCGGAGCAUGCGGAUUAAUUCGAUGCAACGCGUAGAACCUUACCUGGGUUUGACAUGGAUCGGGAGUGCUCAGAGAUGGGUGUGCCUCUUUUGGGGUCGGUUCACAGGUGGUGCAUGCCUGUCGUCAGCUCGUGUCGUGAGAUGUUGGGUUAAGUCCCGCAACGAGCGCAACCCUUGUUCACUGUUGCCAGCACGUUAUGGUGGGGACUCAGUGGAGACCGCCGGGGUCAACUCGGAGGAAGGUGGGGAUGACGUCAAGUCCUCAUGCCCCUUAUGUCCAGGGCUUCACGCAUGCUACAAUGGCUGGUACAGAGAGUGGCGAGCCUGUGAGGGUGAGCGAAUCUCGGAAAGCCGGUCUCAGUUCGGAUUGGGGUCUGCAACUCGACCUCAUGAAGUCGGAGUCGCUAGUAAUCGCAGAUCAGCAACGCUGCGGUGAAUACGUUCCCGGG
rnacentral:rRNA from 1 species